rnacentral:rRNA from 1 species
CAUGCAAGUCGAGCGAGUCGGUCGGCAACGGCCAGGCGAGCGGCGGACGGGUGAGUAACGCGUGAACAACCUGCCCUUCAGUUGGGACCAACCGCGCCAACGCGCGGCUAAUGCCGAAUAGAGCGGCGGAAGGCAUCUUCCGCUUGCGAAAGAUUAAUUGCUGGGGGAUGGGUUCGCGUCCGAUUAGGUAGUUGGCGGUGCAACGGACCACCAAGCCAUCGAUCGGUAGCCGGCCUGAGAGGGCGGACGGCCACAUUGGGACUGAGAUACGGCCCAGACUCCUACGGGAGGCAGCAGCAGGGAAUAUUGCGCAAUGGGGGGAACCCUGACGCAGCGACGCCACGUGUGGGAUGACGCGCCUAGGCGUGUAAACCACUGUCGCGGGGGAAUAGCGCCGCGCUUAGGCGCGGCUGAAUGUACCCUGAGAGGAAGCGCCGGCAAACUUCGUGCCAGCAGCCGCGGUAAUACGAGGGGCGCGAGCGUUGUUCGGAAUCACUGGGCGUAAAGGGAGCGUAGGCGGACUUUCAAGCAGGGCGUGCAACCCCGGGGCCUAACCCCGGUCUUGCGCCUUGGACUGGAUGUCUUGGAUGUUUCAGAGGCAGGCGGAAUUCCCAGUGGAGCGGUGGAAUGCGUAGAUAUUGGGAAGAACACCGGCGGCGAAGGCGGCCUGCUGGGGAACCAUCGACGCUGCGGCUCGAAAGCGCGGGUAGCAAACAGGAUUAGAUACCCUGGUAGUCCGCGCCGUAAACGAUGUAUGCUUGGCGCGCGGGGUUCAAAUCCUGCGUGCCGGAGCCAACGCGAUAAGCAUACCGCCUGGGGAGUACGCCCGCAAGGGUGAAACUCAAAGGAAUUGACGGGGGCCCGCACAAGCGGUGGAGCAUGUGGUUUAAUUCGACGCAACGCGCAGAACCUUACCAGGGUUUGACAUGGGGGAGCCGGAGCCGGAGACGGCUUUUCGCGGCAACGCGCUCCCUGCACAGGUGCUGCAUGGCUGUCGUCAGCUCGUGUCGUGAGAUGUUGGGUUAAGUCCCGCAACGAGCGCAACCCGUGCCCUUGGUUGCCUAUACGGCUCUCCAGGGGGACUGCCGG